rnacentral:rRNA from 1 species
UACGUAGGGCGCAAGCGUUGUCCGGAAUUAUUGGGCGUAAAGAGCUCGUAGGCGGCUUGUUGCGUCGGCUGUGAAAUCCCGAGGCUCAACCUCGGGUCUGCAGUCGAUACGAGCAAACUAGAGUGUUGCAGGGGAGACUGGAAUUCCUGGUGUAGCGGUGAAAUGCGCAGAUAUCAGGAGGAACACCGGUGGCGAAGGCGGGUCUCUGGGCAACAACUGACGCUGAGGAGCGAAAGCGUGGGGAGCGAACAGG